rnacentral:rRNA from 1 species
AUACGGGGGGUGCAAGCGUUGUUCGGAAUCAUUGGGCGUAAAGCGCGUGUAGGCGGCUUGGUAAGUCAGGUGUGAAAGCCCUGGGCUCAACCCAGGAAGUGCACUUGAAACUGCCUUGCUUGAGUACGGGAGAGGAAAGCGGAAUUCCUGGUGUAGAGGUGAAAUUCGUAGAUAUCAGGAGGAACACCGGUGGCGAAGGCGGCUUUCUGGCCCAAUACUGACGCUGAGACGCGAAAGCGUGGGGAGC